rnacentral:tRNA from 1 species
UCCCUGGUGGUUCAGUGGUUAAAACUUUGGGCUUCCGCUGCAGGAGGCACGGGUUCAAUCCCCGGUCAGGGAA